UUGCUUGCUUCGGCAGCAGAUAGACUAAAAAUGCAACAAUUCAGAGAUUUGUGUGGCCCCUGUGCAUAUAUGACAUGCAUAUCUGUAAAGUGGUCCAUAUUUAA